UGUGUGUGUGUGAGUGUAUAAUGCAGAGUGUGUGUAUAUAAUGCAUACACUCUGCAUUAUAUACACACACACUCAUA